UACAGAGGUCUCAAGCGUUGUUCGGAUUCAUUGGGCGUAAAGGGCGCGUAGGCGGCCCGCUAAGUCGAACGUGAAAUCCCCAGGCUCAACCUGGGAACUGCGUCCGAUACUGGCAGGCUUGAAUCCGGGAGAGGGAUGUGGAAUUCCAGGUGUAGCGGUGAAAUGCGUAGAUAUCGAGAGGAACACCUGCGGCGAAGGCGGGUUGCUGGGCCGACACUGACGCUGAUGCGCGAAAGCCAGGGGAGCGAACGGG
rnacentral:rRNA from 1 species